rnacentral:rRNA from 1 species
AUGCACGCUGGCGGCGUGCCUAAUACAUGCAAGUCGAGCGAACAGACGAGGAGCUUACUCCUCUGACGUUAGCGGCGGACGGGUGAGUAACACGUGGAUAACCUACCUAUAAGACUGGGAUAACUUCGGGAAACCGGAGCUAAUACCGGAUAACAUGUUGAACCGCAUGGUUCAACAGUGAAAGACGGUCUUGCUGUCACUAUAGAUGGAUCCGCGUCGCAUUAGCUAGUUGGUAAGGUAACGGCUUACCAAGGCAACGAUGCGUAGCCGACCUGAGAGGGUGAUCGGCCACACUGGAACUGAGACACGGUCCAGACUCCUACGGGAGGCAGCAGUAGGGAAUCUUCCGCAAUGGGCGAAAGCCUGACGGAGCAACGCCGCGUGAGUGAAGAAGGUCUUCGGAUCGUAAAACUCUGUUAUUAGGGAAGAACAAAUGUGUAAGUAACUAUGCACGUCUUGACGGUACCUAAUCAGAAAGCCACGGCUAACUACGUG